GGCGCCGGAAGUUUCCGUCGAUGACACGCUUUUCCGGCGAUGAAACUGAACCUUCCUUGUAGCAAUUCUUGGAGAGUUUACACGAAGUUUCACUCCUGGUGAAUUAACAGAGUUAGAAGAGAGUAGUUUCUUUACAGAACAAUUUUUCUUCUUGUUCUUCUUUUGUUGUUGAUGUUGUUGUUGUUGUUCCUUCAAAAUUUUAAUCUUUAGAGACAUUUCUUUGAGGGGUUUGUGUUCUUUAUUGUUGGGUAGUUUUGUAAUGAUUGGAGGAAGUUGAAGUUUUGAAAAAGAAUCAUCAUACCCUUUAAGUUUAUCAUCUUUUCUAGCUAGAGAAUUUUUGUCAACAUCAAUAUCUUUGUUGUUGGAUUUGUUGCAGGGACAAGAAGAAAUGGAAAAUGAAACCAUUUCAUCGAAUGAUGAUUCAGUUGGAAUAAGAACACGGUCUGUUCUGAAUUCUGUUUCAGGGGAUUCUGACUCAGUUAAGCUAUCAAGUGAAGAAGAAGAAGAAGAAGAG
rnacentral:lncRNA from 1 species